AACGAACGCUGGCGGCAUGCCUAACACAUGCAAGUCGAACGAGACAUUCGGGUCCAGGGGCGCACGGGUGCGUAACGCGUGGGAACCUGCACUUAGGUUGGGAAUAACUCCCAGAAAGGGGUGCCAAUUGCGGAUAAUGUCUACGGACCAAAGAUUUAUCGCCAUGGGAUGGGGCCGCGUUGGAUUUGCUAGUUGGUAGGGUAAAAGCCUACCAAGGCGACGAUCCAUAGCUGGUCUGAGAGGAUGAUCAGCCACACUGGGACAGAGACACGUCCCAGACGCCUGCGGGAGGCAGCAGUGGGGAAUAUUGGACAAUGCGCGAGAGCCUGAUCCAGCAAUGCCGCGUGAGUGAUGAAGGCCUUAGGGUUGUAAAUCUCUUUUACCCGGGAAGAUAAUGACAGUACCGGGAGAAUAAGCUCCGGCUAACUCCGUG
rnacentral:rRNA from 1 species